rnacentral:rRNA from 1 species
UACAGAGGGGGCAAGCGUUGUUCGGAAUUACUGGGCGUAAAGCGUGCGCAGGCGGCUUUGCAAGCCGGAUGUGAAAUCCCCGGGCUCAACCUGGGAAUGGCAUUCGGGACUGCAAGGCUGGAGUGCGGCAGAGGAGACUGGAAUUCCUGGUGUAGCAGUGAAAUGCGUAGAUAUCAGGAGGAAUACCGAUGGCGAAGGCAGGUCUCUGGGCUGACACUGACGCUCAUGCACGAAAGCGUGGGGAGCAAACAGG